AGUCCUUUUUAAGCAUCUCAGUGAUUCCACUGUGUAGCCAAGACUGAGGACUGCUGUGUCUGGUGAGCUGUGGGCUGUGAGUGUGUGCUGUGUGUAAGGUGCACGUGCAAUUCAGUCAACAAACAUUGCCUGAGCCCCUCCUGGUGUUGGGUGGCCUCCUGGUAUAGAGAGCUGGCGUCCAGUGUUUACAGCAGAGACCCCUUCAUGUGCUGACAUGUGGGCAUCUGCUUUGUUCCUUCAAGUUGCUGCCUGGACUGCUCAGCUGCAUGUGGUCUGUGGGUUUUUCUCUCCACUCCCUGGAAAGGAUAUUCGUGCUGCUUCCAGCUCCCGCCACCUUUACCAACAACGCAAGGCAGAGCUCCAUCCUCGGCCAGUGACAGGAUCAGUGGGACCAGACCUGACCUGGACCAUCUUCGGGGUGGACAUCUGACCUCCGUAUGCAUCUGGCUGCUUCCCACCCAGCGAGCCCAUCCUGGUGUGGCCUCUGCAGAAGGAGAGAGGCUUUCCACCAUUGCCGAGAUGUCUGCCUACGCACAACAACUCCAGACCAGGCUCUUGUCCAGGAAGGGCUUUGUGGUCAAGGCUCCGGAAACGGCUUGAAGAGAACAUGCAAAAUGACCAACAGAAGCAGCACAUCUAACAAGCGCUAAGAACCCAGCCAGAAGGCUUUUGGCUGAGUCUCAUGUCAGCAGGCUCUUAUGUGGCACUGGCUCUUCCCUAUGCCUGGGACACCAUUCCCCCAGAAAUCAGCAGGGCUCUGUUCCUUAGCUCCUCCCCCUCUUUGCCGAAAUCUCACCUUUUUGGGAGGCUGACCCUGACCGUCUGUUAAAUACCAGACUGACCCCCACUCCUGCCCUCCUAACCCUCUUCUCCAACCCUAAUUUGCUCACAGCAUUGAGCUCUUUCUAAGAUGCUAAAUAACUUACUUAUUCACUAUGCUUAUGAUUUAAUUCUGUCUUUCCCUGCUGUAAUGUAAGGUCCACAAGGC